rnacentral:rRNA from 1 species
GACGAACGCUGGCGGCGUGCUUAACACAUGCAAGUCGAACGAAGUGGCGAACGGGUGAGUAACGCGUAAUCAACCUGCCCUUCAGAGGGGGACAACAGUUGGAAACGACUGCUAAUACCGCAUACUGAUGGAGGGGAUUGCGUCUGAUUAGCUUGGUGGAGGGGUAACGGCCCACCAAGGCGAUUAUCAGUAGCCGGUCUGAGGGGAGGAAUGGCCAAAUUGGGACUGGGACAAGGCCCAGACUCCUUCCGGAGGCAGCAGGGGGGAAUCUUUCGCAAUGGACGGAAGUCUGACUGAGCAACGCCGGGUGAGUGAUAACGGCCGUCGGGUUGUAAAGCUCUGUUAAUCGGGGCGCGGUACCGGAAUAGAAAGCCACGGCUAACUACGUGCCAGCAGCCGCGGUAAUUC